ensembl:misc_RNA 7SK 7SK RNA
AUAUGUGAGGGUGACCUGGCUGCAACACUUGUCACCCCAUUGAUCGCCAGGGUUGACUGGGUUGAUCUGGCUAGUAAGGCGGGUGUCCCCUUCCUCCCUCACCGCUCCAUGUGCGUCCCUCCUGAAGCUGCUCAUUUGGUGAAAGAGGAUGGCCUUCCCCAAACAGAGACAGACCAGUCUUCUGUUGAGGAUAUACAAAUAGUUGCGCUCCCCUGCUAGAACCUCCAAACAAGCUCUCAAAACCAAAAAUUGAACAAAAUAAAUCUACAGUGAUGAAGUAGAGGUAGCUCAUACUGCUCAUUACUACUGAGGUGGUGGUAGUUUUCACUCUCCCCCACU